UUACUGAAAGCUAUUCCACAGCCAAUCACAAUUUAAUAGCUAAAAAAAAUCAUUUUGAACUUCCUGAUACUAAAUAUCGAGGAAGUAGAAUGAAUUACAUAACGCCUGUUCCAUCAUCUCCAUUUUUUGUAAAGCAUAUCUAUUUCCAAAAAUGUGAAUUUAAUAGCAGCAUACCCAGUCUAGAAUACAGUUGCAACUUCAUCAUGCAAUUAGCACUUACGAUAAUCUUCUUGGUGUUAGUAGUACUAGUAACAAACUCCGCUAGUUGGUGGACUGGCAGCAUAAAGCGUUACAAAUGCAAUGAUCCUUCUAUAGGAGAGCCAUACUAUUUUGGAAC